AACCAGUUGUCAGAAAUAAACAACGAUUUUCUUAAUUUCUAAUGACAGUACAGAUACCUAACAGUUAAGACAACAAGUACGUACAGGUACGUGAGGUGCCUGUACAGAAUCUAACAAGUACGAAACAUCUGAGCGGACACACGGAUACAAAAGCUCUCGAGUUUCAGUGUUGAUAUCUUAGUUACGCUCCUGCUCAUUUGCCGGUACUGUUGUAACAAGGAUCGUAUUAUCACGAUAUUUAUUACGACUAUAAUUUUUCGCAGAUUAGAAUUUUGUCUAUCAGCCAUGAAGCUUUCCCUGUACAUAUUAGCUCUGGCUAGCCUUAUUGUUUUCUCCUUUAUUCAGGAAGGGAACGCGAAAAAGAAGAGGGAUCGCGAUGACUAUUGAUUGGUAUAAUAAAGACGAUCCGGAAACGUAUGACGGCCAAAAGGACUACUGCAUUGAACGUCUUCAUGACGACUGCAACCACUAUCCAUGCUGUGCGAAGGACCACAGUGGCAAGGCAAUGGUCUGCAAGAAGGCCGGGACAGCUCGGCAGCCAUUUUGCCAGUAUCGCAGCUAGGAAUGGACUUCGUGCUGACGCUCACGUCCUUACCGACUACCUAUGUAAAUUACUUUAAUUAUGAGCAGUUUGGUACAUUUAGUACUUACAUUGGUACGCACGUUUCUGUUACAUGUACAGUAUCUGUCUGCUACGUUACCACAAAAGAAUGAGCUUCCACAAACUAGUGUCUACAGGUAUGAAAAUGAAUUAGAAAACAAAAUGUUUAUAACUGCGCCGCUGGAAAAGGCACAAAUAAACCACCAACACAG